GUUAUUCCAGGACUCUCUGUUUCUGUACAGUUAUUGUUCAAUUCUACUGUAAUAGACUUUUAAUGUGCAAUUUAAUCUGAAUCUUUAAUCUGUGAAACAUCCACUAUAAUCUUUAAAAGGUUAUUUUUUUAACAAGUAUUUUUUAAGUCAUGGUAGGUAACUGAUUUAUUUCAAGUUAUCACUGGUAAUCCAAACUGCGGCAAGAUUCAAAUCACACAGUGGGCACUUACUACAGGAAGUCAACUUUAGAAAGGAAGAGGAGGUUUGAUUUUUUUUUACAGGAGUAAAAUUAUUCCUUAUUUUGCAUAAACAAUAUCAUCACUCAAAUAAUUCUAGCACAGUUCUUGGAACAGGUACUCAAUUAAUGCCAGAUAAACUUAACUUUCUAAUUCUAUUG
rnacentral:lncRNA from 1 species